UGCACGCAUGACUGUAAGUCGCUUUGCAUAAAAGCAUCUGCUAAAUGGCUUCUA
rfam:Salmo salar isolate Sally breed double haploid chromosome ssa15, whole genome shotgun sequence.